rnacentral:rRNA from 1 species
GACGAACGCUGGCGGCGUGCUUAACACAUGCAAGUCGAACGAAGUGGCGGACGGGUGAGUAACGCGUAAUCAACCUGCCCUUCAGAGGGGGACAACAGUUUGAAACUACUGCUCAUACCGCAUACGGAAGGAGGGGAUUCGGUCUGAUUAGCUAGUUGGUGGGGUAAGGGCCCACCAAGGCGAUGAUCAUGAGCCGGGCUGAGAGGAGGAACGGCCACAUUUGGACUGAGACACGGCCCAGACUCCUACGGGAGGCAGCAGUGGGGAAUCUUCCGCAAUGGACGAAAGGCUGACGGAGCAACGCCGCGUGAGGGAUGACGGCCUUCGGGUUGUAAAGCUCUGUUAAUCGGGACGCGGUACCGGAAUAGAAAGCCACGGCUAACUACGUGCCAGCAGCCGCGGUAAUUC